rnacentral:rRNA from 1 species
UACAGAGGUGGCAAGCGUUGUUCGGAAUUACUGGGCGUAAAGGGCGCGUAGGCGGUUCGUUAAGUCCUGUGUGAAAUCCCCCGGCUCAACCGUGGAACUGCUGGGUAUACUGGCGGUCUUGAGCCACUUAGGGGCAGUCGGAACAGACGGUGGAGCGGUGAAAUGCGUAGAUAUCGUCUGGAACGCCAAAGGUGAAAACAGACUGCUGGGAGUGUGCUGACGCUGAGACACGAAAGCCAGGGGAGCAAACGGG